UCGUAUUUCCGGUUGGGAUUAACUCACUUCGAGCUCACAGUCGGGCAAGAAAUAAAAAUAUAUUGAUAAAAGAUACAGAUUUGAAGAUACAGGCUUGCAAAUAACACUCUAAGUAGUGUUUUUAAUGGGGAUUUUAACAAGACUAUUACAAAGACGAUAUGUUCGAAGGGGCCGAAGUUAUUUUCGGCAAAAGGUAUGGCUAGUCUAUAUUUUUGUUCAGACAAUUGCGUAAUUUGAUACAAUAUGAUCGUGUUUGACUUCAAAGGCCCAUAAAUCGCUACAAUGUUGAUAAUGACUAUAACUAUAGGGAGGAAUUAGUUGAAUCUUUUCUUUCUGAAUCGAAUGGUGGUAUUUCUGUCUUCAUAGCAUGCACUGAACCGAAGAUAUUAAAUAUCUUGCAGAAAGCAGCAAAGAUCGCGAAAGUUAACAUCAGAGAACAGUUGAAGGACGAUUAAAGGGGUUCUGGUCUUUUCUUUAAUUUAUCAUCAUUGUCUUCAGUACUUUCAUUGUCUCUUCCUUGAUCUUCCUUAACCACGCUCCUUAUCUCCAAAGGACAUACUAGCUGAACAGGUCGUUUCAAAUAGUUACCUUUAUGUAAUACAAUAACUCCUCUAAUUACACCGUCCUUUCCUUUCACGUACUUCACAACUUUGCCUUUCAUCCACCGUUCUCGGUUCUUUUCGUCCAAAUCUCCGGUUUGCAUAUUGUCCUCGUCAGUCCCACUCUUCACCAACUUUGCUUUCUUGCUUUUCUCCAACACGUUUCUUUCAUUCUACUUUCGUCUGUAAUUCUUCUUUUCUUUUUCUUACGUUCACUUGUCUUUUCAACACUACUAGUUUCUUUAGUGUUUCCCUGUGAAACAACAUUACUUUUCACUUUCCCUUUCGUUUUUAUGCCAUUUUCCUCAAGGUUCUCUACUUCGUUUUCUUCUCUUUUCCUCUCAACAUCAUUUACUUCCUCAGUAUGUCCUUUCGAAAGAACUUUUUUCUUCUUUCCUUUGAUUUUCCUUUUCUUUUUUAUGCGUUUUUCCCUGAUGAUGUUGUCAACCUUAUCUCCUUUCAAUUUCUUUCUUUUCUCUUUGCUCCCCUCAUCAUCCAUCAAUUCAAAUGUUUCAUCUUGGUCAGAAUUAUCGGAAGCAUUUUCGUCUUCAUCACCUUGUCCUUCCUUUGUUUCUUCCGCAGUUACUGCCUUCAGUUUUCUCAACCGUUCUGGUGUAUUUUCAUGUUCCUCAGCUCCUCAUUCAUGUCUUCUCUUACUCUUCCAUCGUUCAAAAACCAUGGAUUUUCCGAACUAUCACCGACCAGUCCAAAAUUUCUAAAAUUCUCGGGAAUCUCCGCGCUAUCUUUGGCUUUAUUUGCCUCCUCUCUGACAACAUGUUUGUGGGGUAUAUGAUAUACUCGUUCACCAUUCGGUUUCACUGGUGCACCUUCAAUGAUACCCGAUUCUAAUUGCUUCUCGAUUGUUUCAUCAUAAUUGUUGUUUACCUUCUCAUCUCGCUCGAUCUUUUUGCAUACGUUAGCUAAUCGCUUUCCACUUGGUUCUAGAUUGCUAUUUGGUAAAGACUGUCCUGGAAUCGAUGGUACUUUGACUUGAUAUCUACCGUCAUCAGCCCGAGUAAUGUUUUCUUUAAAUUCAUGAUAAACGUCCAGUUGGUCGUUCUCCCCUCUACCUUCAAUUCCAACUACAUCCAGUGUAUAAAAUUGCUCGUAGUCAUUUGGUUCUCUUGUAAACAUACACACAUUGUUCGAAAUAUCUCCACCAUGAACAAUCCAACCAAACGAAGUACCUUCAACGAUAGGAUCGUCAUCUUUUCCUUUGUAGAUUUCCUCUGUCUUAAUCUUGCAGAAGGUGUUGUCACCUAAGAUCAUGUGUAUUGGAUAUUCACCAUCUCUUGUCAUGAAAACCUCUUAUCCUUUGUGUGUUCAUAAUUCCAUUUAAGUUUGUUCAUGUCCGGUCUUUUCACUGUUGUGAAAUCUUUCAUUGUCGACCCGGCUAGCUCUAUAUCUUCCUUGGUUGAUCCAUCUAAUGAUUCAAUAGUUACAUUGUAAAUAGGCAUGGACUGUCUUUUUGUUCCAUUAAUGGUGAUGGUUUCUUUCGAUUCAUGUCGUGCUGCAGAAACUUGAAGUUUCUUU
rnacentral:lncRNA from 1 species